rnacentral:lncRNA from 1 species
AUGAUGAAGAUCAUGAUAAGUAGAUUUUGUAGGCCCCUUAGGGUUUUGUUGGCUCUCCAAAAAAUCAGAAGGCUUUGGGCAUUUCCUCGAACUGGUCUUGCUCAAAACCUGGCCUCGCUGAGGCUUAGACGGCAAAGGCAAGUUCUUGACGUCAAGAAGUUGAAUUUUCUUUUUCUUGUUUUGGAACUCUUGAUAGCCUUGGUGAAGCUUUCGCUUGCUAUUCUCCAACUUGUCUUCAUCAUCCCAGUCUUGCCGUUGAUGAUGAGCAUCAGAUUUUGUUGGCCCCGUAGGGUUUUGUUGACAAGAAGAUGGAGGUGGU